CAGGUAACAUUAAAUCGUACCCCAAACCGACACAGGUGGUCAGGUAGAGAAUACCAAGGCGCUUGAGAGAACUCGGGUGAAGGAACUAGGCAAAAUGGUGCCGUAACUUCGGGAGAAGGCACGCUGGCAUGUAGGUGAAGUCCCUUGCGGAUGGAGCUGAAGCCAGUCGAAGAUACCAGCUGGCUGCAACUGUUUAAUAAAAACACAGCACUGUGCAAACACGAAAGUGGACGUAUACGGUGUGACGCCUGCCCGGUGCUGGAAGGUUAAUUGAUGGGGUCAGCCGCAAGGCGAAGCUCUUGAUCGAAGCCCCAGUAAACGGCGGCCGUAACUAUAACGGUCCUAAGGUAGCGAAAUUCCUUGUCGGGUAAGUUCCGACCUGCACGAAUGGCGUAAUGAUGGCCAGGCUGUCUCCACCCGAGACUCAGUGAAAUUGAACUCGCUGUGAAGAUGCAGUGUACCCGCGGCAAGACGGAAAGACCCCGUGAACCUUUACUAUAGCUUGACACUGAACAUUGAGCCUUGAUGUGUAGGAUAGGUGGGAGGCUUUGAAGCGUGGACGCCAGUCUGCGUGGAGCCAUCCUUGAAAUACCACCCUUUAAUGUUUGAUGUUCUAACUCGGCCCCAUAAUCUGGGGUGAGGACAGUGUCUGGUGGGUAGUUUGACUGGGGCGGUCUCCUCCCAAAGAGUAACGGAGGAGCACGAAGGUUAGCUAAUCACGGUCGGACAUCGUGAGGUUAGUGCAAAGGCAUAAGCUAGCUUGACUGCGAGAGUGACGGCUCGAGCAGGUACGAAAGUAGGUCUUAGUGAUCCGGUGGUUCUGAAUGGAAGGGCCAUCGCUCAACGGAUAAAAGGUACUCCGGGGAUAACAGGCUGAUACCGCCCAAGAGUUCAUAUCGACGGCGGUGUUUGGCACCUCGAUGUCGGCUCAUCACAUCCUGGGGCUGAAGUAGGUCCCAAGGGUAUGGCUGUUCGCCAUUUAAAGUGGUACGCGAGCUGGGUUUAGAACGUCGUGAGACAGUUCGGUCCCUAUCUGCCGUGGGCGUUGGAAGAUUGAGAGGGGUUGCUCCUAGUACGAGAGGACCGGAGUGAACGCACCACUGGUGUUCGGGUUGUCAUGCCAAUGGCAUUGCCCGGUAGCUAAGUGCGGAAAAGAUAAGCGCUGAAAGCAUCUAAGCGCGAAACUUGCCUCAAGAUGAGUCUUCCCUGGGCCUUCAAGGCCCCUGAAGGAACGUUUAAGACUAAGACGUUGAUAGGCUGGGUGUGUAAGUGCAGCGAUGCAUUGAGCUAACCAGUACUAAUGAUCCGUGAGGCUUAACCUU
rnacentral:ncRNA from 1 species